GAGAGAACGGGAGCUGUAGGCACGCCGCAUGCGCUCCUGGAACAUACCCCCUUUAUUUAUUUGUUAAGUCUUUCUGAAUUAUAUUAUUAUAUAUGAUAUUAUAUAUUCUGGCUAUAGCUUCUUUACAAACGCAUGUAAUCCUGAAUCACCUAGCAAGCCUGUUUCAUUUAAGCAGUUAUAAGAAGAUAAUAUCAAACUCACUUGCAACAUGAAACCUCAAAGAGCUGAAGACUCCUAAGAGCUGAGGUUGGUUGUUUUUGCUCUGAGGCCGGCCAGCAGACCUCUGCGGAUCCAGUGACUGGUUAUUUAGUGCUCUCCGAAGUUCCCACUUGCAGAGAGGUAGAUGCUGGGGCUCUGCAUGCAGACCUAAACAGGUCUCCUGUGGGAGCAAACGGCAAAAGUUUUGUGGCUUUCAGUGGAGACAAGAUCAAGGCCACAAUAACACACCGGCCAAGCUCUUGUUAUUCCUCCAGUUGGUGCCUGAAUCUUCCCCGGAGUAGCAUGUCAAGUGUGUGUCCAUGUGAACGAGUUAACGUGAAAGACCAGUCCUAAAAGAAGCACUUCAACUAUUUUCUUUUUUCUUUUUUCUUUUCUUUUUUUUUUUUUUUAAUUUUUUUAAAGGUAUGAGUAUUAACGUCUUUCAUUCUGCAAGAGCGGCUGCGAAACCGAAGCCCAUCAGCUCUUUGUGGCUUCCACUGCUGGAAUACUGGCAUUAGCUGUACCUGAUCCUGGCUCCCAGUG